CAUUUCACCUAGCUGAACCCUGCCAUAUGUCCCUAAAAUAAAUGAGCAAAACAAGAUUGCUUUGACCUAACAAAUACUUUGGUCAGCUUCUUACUCUCUUUGAUCGAGCAAUAUUUUAGCUUGAACUUGAAAGUGGGGGUUAUUUGAUAUGAAAGGAAAGUUUACCUUGGGUUUGACUGAUGUUCACCAUUCUUCAGUUAGCCACCGACCUACUUGCCUUGGUGCAUGUUGAGCCAAAGUACCAAACCAAGAUUCCCGACAUCUGUUACAUGUCGGGUUUGUUACGAUGUUCAGUUCACAUUCUGGCUAUAGCCU
rnacentral:lncRNA from 1 species